rnacentral:rRNA from 1 species
CAGCCGCCGCGGUAAUACCGGCGGCCCGAGUGGCGGUCACUAUUAUUGGGCUUUAAGCGUCCGUAGCCGGGUUGGGAAGUCCUCCGGGAAAUCUGGCCGCUUAACGGUCAGAAUGCCGGAGGAUACUCCCAGCCUAGGGAGCGGGGGAGGCCGAGGGGAUUCCCGGAGUAGGGGGGAAAUCCUAUAAUCCCGGGAGGACCACCUGUGGCGAAGGCGCUCGGCUGGAACGCGUCCGACGGUGAGGGACGAAGGCCAGGGGAGCAAACCGGAUUAGAUACCCGGGUAGUCCUGGCUGUAAACGAUGCGGACUUUGUGUCGGACAAGCUAUGAGCUUGUCCGGUGCCGGAGGGAAACCGUUAAGUCCGCCGCCUGGGGAGUACGGCCGCAAGGCUGAAACUUAAAGGAAUUGGCGGG